rnacentral:lncRNA from 1 species
AUGACAGGCUGGCCUCCCGGCAGCCCCAACCUGCCGCCACCGCUGACCGGAGGCCCUCACCUUGUCGGCAGUCUCAGCAGCCUUGGUCAACGUUGCAGGGGCAUCCCCAUGGAGAAAACAGGGGCUGCUCCCACAGUCCAGGCUCCAUUAAAAAUUGUGGCAGUAUCCUCCCAGUCCUGGGGGUGUGACCACUCUAGGCAAGGUGUUCUCUCUGUUCAGCACACACAUGGGGUGCAGAUGCCCAUCAAGUUGAACCCUGGGGAUGACAGGGCAGACCCUGGGAUGCGGCCAAGAUGUGUGGCCAGCCGGGGUGGGGGGGAGACAUGUAGGUACAGGACAGGAGGGAGCGGCCACCAUCAUGAGGGAAGGGUCAACCAGGGGUGGCAGAGGCGCCCUCUGUUGCUGCUGCAGGUCAAGAAGACAAUAUUGAUCCUGUGGCUCCAGAGAGGGCUGAUGGCAGUGGCAGCAGUGGAGGGGUUACCUGAGGACCAAAGCUGGUCACUGCCGGGAAGAGCACUAAAACCUAUCGUCCAGGCUAUCGUCCAGGUGCCAGCGCUGCAAGGUUUCAGCCGUGCUCCACAGACCCUUGGGCUCGGGAGAAGGGGGUGGUGGAUUCUGGACUGCAGCCUCAACUGGCAUGCACAGCUCUCCCUGCCUCACUGCGCCUCCGCCCUGCUUGCCCAGGUGGCCAGGUCAUUGCAAUCCUGUUUGGCCAAGAUCCAGGUCGCAGAGUGGACCCAAAAGUGUGCUGCCCAGGCCAGAGUGUUGGCCCAACCUGGGGCAUGGCACUGCAACUCUGCCCUCUGGUGGUGGGUGCCAGGCAUGCAGUGCCCUAAUGGGACCUGGGCUCUGUCCCUGCAAGGCUCCUGGCUCCCAACCUCCCCCUGUAAGGCACGGGAUUGCCCUGGCUCCGGAUGCAAGAGGCAAUCCCUAUGGUGCCAGUGCAGGGGCCUGGCUUGGCAGCCUCUUGCCCACAGGCAGCACCACUACUGCCCGAGGUCUGGCUACUCCCACGUCUUCACAGGUCCCGCGUCAUCCCUCCUGCAUCACCAACCCAUGCCUUUUUUUCUGUGUUGCACCCUUCAAGAUUCAAGAAAGGAUUACCAAUUUCAGUCUCUGCUAAUUUCUUCUUACCAUCACUCGGGCUGCAGACAAGUAAAACACAAAACAAAAAUUAGAAAAGAGGGUCACUAUCUACUACAGAUCUUCAGAAUACUGGCUCAUUUGCCUAGCAUGGAAGGAGCUGAAGAAAAAUAUCCAAGACAUUGUCCACUGCUCUGUAAAGACAUUGUUUUUUCACUAACAUAUCAUCCAUUCCCCAAAUUCUAA